GAGGAAUAAGCAUCGGCUAACUCCGUGCCAGCAGCCGCGGUAAUACGGGGGAUGCAAGCGUUAUCCGGAAUCAUUGGGCGUAAAGCGCCUGUAGGUGGUUUAAUAAGUCUGUUGUUAAAGACUAGGGCUUAACCCUAGGAAAGCAAUGGAAACUAAUAGACUAGAGUAUGGCAGGGGUAGAGGGAAUUUCUAGUGUAGCGGUGAAAUGCGUAGAUAUUAGAAAGAACACCAGUGGCGAAAGCGCUCUACUGGACCAUUACUGACACUCAGAGGCGAAAGCUAGGGUAGCAAAAGGGAUUAGAUACCCCUGUAGUCCUAGCCGUAAACGAUGGAUACUAGAUGUUGUGUUUUCUCACAGUGUCGCAGCUAACGCGUUAAGUAUCCCGCCUGGGGAGUACGCUCGCAAGGGUGAAACUCAAAGGAAUUGACGGGGGCCCGCACAAGCGGUGGAGCAUGUGGUUUAAUUCGAUGCAACGCGAAGAACCUUACCAGGGCUUGACAUACUGCAGAUCUUUUUGAGAAAGAAGAGUGCCUUCGGGAAUGCAGAUACAGGUGGUGCAUGGCUGUCGUCAGCUCGUGUCGUGAGAUGUUGGGUUAAGUCCCGCAACGAGCGCAACCCUUAUUUUUAGUUACCAACUUGUUGGGUUCUCUAGAAAGACUGCCGGUGACAAACCGGAGGAAGGUGAGGAUGACGUCAAGUCAGCAUGCCCCUUAUGUCCUGGGCUACACACGUGCUACAAUGGUUAAGACAAAGAGUCGCGAGUUCGUGAGAACCAGCUAAUCUCGUAAACUUAGCCUAAGUUCAGAUUGUAGGCUGCAACUCGCCUACGUGAAG
rnacentral:rRNA from 1 species